rnacentral:rRNA from 1 species
AAUUCCGUGCCAGCAGCCGCGGUAAUACGGAAGGUCCGGGCGUUAUCCGGAUUUAUUGGGUUUAAAGGGAGCGUAGGCCGGAGAUUAAGCGUGUUGUGAAAUGUAGACGCUCAACGUCUGCACUGCAGCGCGAACUGGUUUCCUUGAGUACGCACAAAGUGGGCGGAAUUCGUGGUGUAGCGGUGAAAUGCUUGGAUAUCACGAAGAACUCCGAUUGCGAAGGCAGCUCACUGGAGCGCAACUGACGCUGAAGCUCGAAAGUGCGGGUAUCGAACAGGAUUAGAUACCCUGGUAGUCCGCACGGUAAACGAUGGAUGCCCGCUGUUGGUCUGAAUAGGUCAGCGGCCAAGCGAAAGCAUUAAGCAUCCCACCUGGGGAGUACGCCGGCAACGGUGCAACUCAAAUGAAUUGACGG